CACGUAGUUAGCCGUGGCUUUCUGAUUAGGUACCGUCAAGACGUGCACAGUUACUUACACAUUUGUUCUUCCCUAAUAACAGAGUUUUACGAUCCGAAGACCUUCAUCACUCACGCGGCGUUGCUCCGUCAGGCUUUCGCCUAUUGCGGAAGAUUCCCUACUGCUGCCUCCCGUAGGAGUCUGGACCGUGUCUCAGUUCCAGUGUGGCCGAUCACCCUCUCAGGUCGGCUACGUAUCGUUGCCUUGGUAAGCCAUUACCCCACCAACUAGCUAAUACGGCGCGGGUCCAUCUAUAAGUGAUAGCAAAACCAUCUUUCACUUUAGAACCAUGCGGUUCUAAAUAUUAUCCGGCAUUAGCCCCGGUUUCCCGGAGUUAUUCCAGUCUUAUAGGUAGGUUACCCACGUGUUACUCACCCGUCCGCCGCUAACGUCAAAGGAGCAAGCUCCUUAUCUGUUCGCUCGACUUGCAUGUAUUAGGCACGCCGCCAGCGUUCAUCCUGAGCCAGGAUCAAACUCU
rnacentral:rRNA from 1 species